rnacentral:misc_RNA from 1 species
GACUGACACCAAGCCUAGGUCCGGCCAUCUUGUGACGGCAAGCGCUCUCUGAUCUCAAAACACCCCCAAAUGUGGGUAAUUUGUGUCCGAAAUUGCACAAAAUUGUUCAUAAACAAUCCUUGACAACGGCCUCAGUGCGUGCAAGUUCAUAACUCACGUGUAUGUGUCGUAAAAUGCGUACAAAUUAAACGGAUUGUUUGUUGCUUUUUGUGUAACAUUUUUGUGUGUGUAGUCGUCUUCAGAGUCCACAUCAAGUUUUACUUCACUGUUCGAUGAUCUCAUUGGAUAAUUAUAUCAUUCGGCGCACAAUUCCGGAUAUGGGUUAGACAAAUUCUCGAUGGUGACCAGGCGUCAUUCAAUAUUAUAGAGCUUUGGGGGCGAUGGAUAAAGAAAAUGGUGAACAAACAGAAGGUGGUUCAAGCUCCAAUAAAAUCUCCAGUGCCCCCGACACUUUACUGGAUGCUGCAAGUUUGUUUGCUUAUUGGCCUCGAAGCGAAUCUAGUGGUGCAGCUGCAGCAGCUGCGGCUGCCAACGCGGCCAAUCUUUUUGCGGCCACGGGAGGCGCAUACGGCCUGGCACCCCAUCCCUCUUUACCGUUCGGAAUGUUGCCUCCAACUUCCAGCAGAGGAAUGCCCUCGUAUCCAACAGCCACAAGCGCUGCAGCCGUCUAUAGCAAUGCUUACUCAAAUACACUAUCGGUUGCAGCAAGUCAAGCCGCGAGUUUGGGGAUACCCGCGGCCAGUGCUGCAUGGUGGUCCAUGGCAUCACAUUUGGCAGCUCAGGACUACCUUGCCCGUUUGCAAGCUUCAGGUCUAAAUUUUCCUGGUUUACCAAAUCCUGCCGAUUUACCUUAUUCACCCUUAUCCUUGUCCUCUCUCACAGGUUAUCCUAAGGCUAAGACAUCGAAAAAUUCUUCAACUUUAUCCUCCACAGCUUCACUGCCAAAGCAUCAAUCGUCAUCUGUCGGAAAUACGUUGGUAAAGUCGCAAAAAACCCCCGCACAUUCUAUCAAUUAUUCAUCAAGCUCAAUGAAAUUGAAUGAUGGGAGGACAGAGCAGUCAAUUUAUACUAAUACGCCGAUGCCAUCUAGUAGAAAUAAUACUGCAACUAGUAAUUGCGCUUCGUCUUCUUCAAAACUGCCUUCUAAUCCUGGUCUAACGAUACAGCCCAGUAUGCGAAUUCCAACUAGUGCCAGUUCUAGUACCAUAACAAGUAGCAGUGGUAACAGUAACGCCGAUAGAAGAACAUCCAAAGUUAACGAAUACGGUUAUCUAAAAAAUGUAGAGAAACCAAAAAGUUCAAGUCCAAAAAUAUCACCCUCAACCGCUAGUAUUUUUACCAAUCCACUCAGUUUGGCCAAUAACAUAGAUAAGAAUAGUAUUAACUCUAACAAUUCUCCAAGUCCAGGCCUUUCUUCUGGAUUCCCACCUAGUAUUUUAAGUUCAGCAUUAGAAGGAACAAGUGAUCCAAAUUCAAUACUGGGUGGAGUUAGACUUCCGCCCGAUACGGAAAUUAUCAAAUACACUUCAUCUAUAGUCGGUCCAAAAAUACCGGGCACAACGAAUAGGGGCCGAAAAAAGACAAUUUCUUUGGAUCCACCUUGUGUUAGUGUACAUCCUUCGCAUGGCAUUUUUGGUAUGGAGAAGACUGCUAAACGUCCGAAAUUGAAUAUAUUUAAUCAAGAAAUGAAAGAACCAAGCAGCACACCGCCUUCCGUUUUGGGUAACGAUAAAGUUGAAGUCAUAAAAUUACAAUCAACGAACGGUAGUCCAGGUAUCUCGCCGUUAUCUCUCACAACUAACUCUAGUUUUGGAGAUAGUUCCUCUGAUGCACCCCUUAAUUUAUCAUUGAAACCUGCAGUCACAUCGUCCUCUAACCUCUCCAGUUCUUCGCUCAAUUCCCUCAGCAAUAUGUCUGCGAACAUUGGCAUGGACAGGAUAUCUCGAAGGAAACCUGGUCCGAAACCUCGUCGUGUAAUUCAGGCUCCUACCCAUCUACCUCCAGGUGCUCCAAGCGCUUCCUUGCAGCAGUUAUUUGCAACAGCGGAUUCUCCCCGCCCGCCGAGUCGCAGUGACGAAAUCAUUCAAUUUUACAGCGGUAGUACUACUACAACAACUGUAUCAACAACAACUACCACCAUAACUACAACAAAUUCUAUUACUACCACAGUUUCUUCCCUUGCCACCUUGUCUUCUUCUGCUUCAAUAAUUCCCAUGCACAAAGAUGGUCGGCCCAGGAACCUUGGACGAGGUGUUAGUAAGCCGAAAAAGAACACCGUAGCUUCCUUGUUAGCACAAAGCAGAGCUCUAGGCAUAAAGCCUAUGCCAAUAUUAGAUCCUAAUACGUCCAUGAAUCAGCAAAUAUCGUUAUUAAAAUCAAAUAUUUUGGCAGCCCAGCAGUUAAUGGUAGAGGUAGGGGGUGACGAAAAAACUUUUAAUAAGUUAUUACAGGAAAAAAUUAAGGGUACUCUGAGCGACUCCAACUCGAGUACCGUUGAUGCCUCUACAGAUUCUGAUAAUCAUACCGAUUCUAAUCAUACUGAUUCUGAAAUAGAAGCAGAGCCAUUGUCUACGCUUAAGAAGCAAAAGCAAUACGAUGAGAAUAUGUUAAGGGUACCAUUAGCAAAAGGUUGGAGACGAGAAACUAUAAUUAGAGGCCUUGGAAAGAAUGGAACAAUAAAAGGGGACAUUUCAUACAUAGCCCCCGAUUCAUCUAACAAAUUUAGGCAAAUGUCAGAUAUUACUCAGUACUUAGAUUAUCAUAAGGUCCCAGACUUAACAAAAGAAAAUUUCACAUUCAGCAGUCGGGUUAUCAUUGGGGACUACUUACAACCGGUUCCUGUAGGAAUGGGAACUGAAGGAACCGAUUGUAUUAAACUAAGUGAAGAAGAUGUUAUUAAAAGGCUAGAAGAAUUGAAAGCGACGAUGCGAUCGAAUCUCGCAGUAGAACAACGGAUAGAAGUUGCGAGAAGACAACAGGCAGCGAGAGCGCAAGCUCGUCUUGAAAAAGAACAAGCACGUAUACAGAGAGAAAUGGAAAGAAACGAAAAACAGGAAGCCGCUAGGAAAGAGCGAGAAGCAAGAUCCCAACAAAUGCUCGAGGAGAGAGAAAGAAGACGCCAGCAUAUGGCAUUAGUGAAAGCUCUCGAAGCUCGCAGGAAAUUGGAAGCAAGAGAACGAAAAAAACAAGUUUUGCUUGCUGAAAAACAAGCCAACAAAGAACGUAAAAUGGAGCAGCGAAGAAUAGAAAUGGAGAUUCUUACUGAAAUUCGAAAACCAUGCGAAGAUCUCGAACUCGAUCAUAAACCAUUGCCUGAAUAUAACCGAAUAUUGGGACUUAAACUGUCUGGGAAAGCAUUCUCUGAUAUGUUAAUGGUCUUUGAGUUUCUUCACAAUUUUGGCGAAACUCUCGGUUUUGACAUGGAAUCGUUGCCGACUUUGGAUACAUUACAACAAGCAUUAUUAUACAACGAUACCAAUACUGAAGCAGAAGAAGAACUUUUGUCGGUUAUGACGCAUUUGUUGGUCUGUGCUAUCGAAGAUCCUGGUAUUCCUAAUCCCGUACGUCACACUACAAGUUUAGGACAAACACUUAGACAAGCAGAUAUCACUCAUCAUAACUUAUCAGAGAUUUUAAGAAUAUACCUGUAUGCAAAUGCUACUGGAGAAGUUAAAUCAUUAACAGGCGUUCAUUUUGAACGAGAGCGUGAAAAACGUGUUGCUGAUCACCAUCAAAACGGCUGUGAAAUGCAACUCACUCAAUCAGGCAAGAAUGCAACGUAUUAUGAAUUAUUACAUGAAAAUCCUACAUGGAAGAUGUCCGAUUUACUGAAGGAUAAGCCAUUCUUAGCACUGUCGCCAACAAAUAAAGCUGCUAUAUUAGCUUAUCUUUGCAAUGAACUGCUUCAGAACAAGGCUGUGAUUAGACAGAUUGAAGGAUCUCUUGAUAGUGUUGUGCAACUGAAGAAAGAAAAAUGGAUAUUAGAUACGAAAAUUCGAAAAUUGCGCAUGCUUUAUAACAGGAAAAUACGAUCUGAAGCUACAGAAAGGUCAAUCAAUAAGACCGAUGGAGACGCCACUGAAUCAGUAACGGAAGAAUUGCCACUUCUUCAUAAAGAUGAUUUGUUAGAUGAAGAUGAAAAUGAAAUGAGUGAAAAUGAAAGCGUUGGGACACAACCUGAAGAAGAAGAAGACAAUAAGUUAUCGGGAGAGGAACUUGGAAAGAAAUUGGAAAAGUUGGUAAAACAGUCUCAGAUUCAUCUUCAGUCGCUUAAUGCAGCAGGGCAUCAACUUCGUGCAACUUGUUUCGGACAAGAUCGUUAUUGGCGAAGGUAUUGGUCACUACCAAAAGCCGGGGGAGUUUUCGUUGAAGCCAUAGAAUCAGCAGAUCCAGAAUUUCUCGAAGAGAUUCAAAAAGAUGAAAAAGUGAAUGAAACUAACAUUAAUACUACAACUACCACUCACUUAGAGACUGAACAGAACGACAGUCCGCCAAGAAGUCCUUCUAUAGACCGGGAAAAUAACGUAUCAAGUGAGCAUAGUGACGUAAGCGAGGAGACUGAAAAGACUCUUAAUAACAAUGAAAAUGAACAUAGAAAAACUCCAAAUAGGUUAGAUCUGGUUGAAAAUGGUGAAAUAGGCGAUAUUUGUGAACGAAAUUUGGAUGAGCUACGGAAAAGUGUUGAUCGAAUAGUACAGAGUCUUGAGAUGGGUUGUGAUUACCCUAAAAAAGAAGACCAGCAGUCUGAAAAUAACGAAGAAAAUACAAAACCUUCCGAAAUAGAAAUAGACAUUAAUCAUGCCAACGAAGUUGUUGAUGCUGAACAUAAUGAUGCAGAUGAAAUAAAAGUAAAAUUAGAAACAGAAAAAGAGGAAAGUCCAAAGAAGUUCAACUUAUUUGAGAGGUUAGGUGAAUGUAUGGAGAAAGCAAAUGAAGAUAAAAUGAAGUCCGAGCUAAAAAUGGAAUGUAAAGAAGAAAUAAAAAGUGAAAUCCUUAACGAACUGAAAUCUGAAAUAAAAAGUGAAAAACAAGAAGACGAAGACGAAGAAAAGGCCGAAGCAGAGAACAAAUGGUUUAGUAUUUUGACAAGGGAUGGUAGUACUUGUGAAGAACUACAUCUUACACAAGGAAACCGAUGGGAUGCAGGUGGGGUUGGAAUAUGUUCUCGCGAAAACAUAACCGAACUUAAAAUUCCGGUCUUUCCUCCGCCAUCUAAUGCCGGCUACAAUUCUUGUGACAGUCCGGGUCCUUUACAAAUGACCGCAGAGGAAAGUACCCAACUCGAGUAUAUUAAAAAACACGGUUUUCCAGAACGAUCUGAACCUAAAGUUAUUCCGCGUGGCAAGCGCUACGGCUGGUGGAGGAUCAAGAAUGAAGAAGAACUGAAGACUGUCAUAGAUAGCUUACAUACUAGAGGUACGCGUGAGAGGGAGCUUCGUAGAACUAUUUUAAAUACUAUGCAAAUAAUGUAUGAAGAUAAGGGUAACGUACAUAUUGAAGAAGGACAAAAUGACAUGACUACGCUUGCACCGAGAGAUUAUUAUGUUGAAAUGGUCGAGGGAGGAGCUCCUUAUCCUGACGAACCUGGUAGUUGGAAUGCCGCAGUUGCUAAUAGAAUCGAUUUGGCAGUUUUUGAACAGUUGGAAGCAUUGGAAGAUAAGGUGGCAAAUGCUAGUAUGCAAGUCAAAGGAUGGAGACCUCCGACACGUAAUGGUAUUGAUAUUCCUGAGGGUGAAAUAAUAAUUUCUGCAAAGGAACGAUUGGCAGGAUUAGAAGCCGCCAUUGAACGAAGAUAUCUAAAACCACCUCUUGGAAUAAAUACCGGAGAUCCAAAUUUGGCAGUUAUCGCACAAGAAGCAUCUGGAGGAAGUACACCUAUGCAAUCUAUGCCAAGUCCGGACGAAAUUCCGAAGGGGUUGUCGGUUUGGCGCGAGGCAGUUAGUAGGGCACAGACGGCCGCUCAACUUGCUAUGUGUUUGUACAGCUUAGAGUCGUCCAUCGCUUGGGACAAAAGUAUCAUGAAAGCUGUGAGCCACCCUUCUCAGAUUGAUAUUUUGACUAAUCAGAGAGCUCGCAAUUAUAACACCAAACUAAGUGUGGGUGCUUGCGCUUUUUCCUUUUAUUUUUUUCUUUUCAUUUAUCCUUUUCGCUUUUUCAAUUAUUUUGCUUAAUUUUGUUACAUUUGCUGUUUUAUUGUUUUUUUUUUGUUUGACUGUGCCAAAUAUAACAUUUACAGAGGUUUUUCUGACGGGAGGGAUACAUAAUGAGGAAACGUUGAUUCAGUUUCAAAUUAGUACAUUUCCUUUGUAAUAUCCACAACGCAUUCUGUGCUCCGAAUAUAAAUUUGGAUCAGUGAACCAUUUUGGCAACUGCACACAACAUAUGUAAUAAAAUAGUUUGUUGCAUUUUUGAAUAAUCAUUAUUCCUGACUUAAUUUUAAGGCACAAUAUUUGUUCAAGUCGACAGCUUAAAAUCUCGUUCAGAAACGCUUCAUUAUCAAACAAUGACCGCGGUAUAUUACUUCCAAAAGUCUUUUAAAGUAUAGGGAAAGUUAUUAAAUAAAUUCUUAUUUUUUUUUAUUUACCUUUCAUUUAAUAUCUCUGUUUUCUUAAAAACAUUACUUUUUAUUACGUUUAGGCAUCUUGAAUAAAUUUAGGAGAGUAAAUUAAAGAAAAUUCCAUGGUCUGUAAUACAUCAUUUACAAUGGUCAAAGGCACAGUCAACCAUUUGUCAAUGCUUAUAUUAUUGUUCGUAAAUUGUCACAUUAACAAUAGAUCGUAGAUUUUUAACAGUACUUCUUAAUUACAUGCUAUUUAGAAAAUAAUUUUAUAGAUGUCACAAAAGUAUUGCAAAACCAAAAUAUUCGUACUUCGGCUACUCUUAUUAGAACGAUAAUUAACUAUUCAUAAAUUCAGAAAUAAUUUUAAAUAAAACAUAUUUUGCUCGAAAUUUUAAAAAUAGUAAAAUACUCUCAUUUGUCUUUGUUAAUAUGACUAAGCACCACACUAUCAUCCGCCCCUCUCAGACAGGCAAGAGAGUAUCUAUUCAUAAUAAAACCGCGAACAACUAAUUAUUAAUCCUAAUUUGUACUAUCAGCAGCACUCAUGUUGCUUUACAUUAUAUAAUUCUUUACUUUGGCAUGAACUACCUCACUUCAAUUUUAUUCUUUUUAUUAUUUGCAUGUUGUACUUUUUCUAUGCGCACAUUCACUAAUAACCUCUCGCCGGUUGUCAUUGAGAAUUAUAAUAACAGUAAAUAAAAAAGUAGAUCUUUUCUUUUUCCUACUUAUAUUUCGCUACUAUAUAUUUCAAGAAUGUUUAUUAAUGUAC